GGGUUGUGAGGUUAAGCGACUAAGCGUACACGGUGGAUGCCCUGGCAGUCAGAGGCGAUGAAGGACGUGCUAAUCUGCGAUAAGCGUCGGUAAGGUGAUAUGAACCGUUAUAACCGGCGAUUUCCGAAUGGGGAAACCCAGUGUGUUUCGACACACUAUCAUUAACUGAAUCCAUAGGUUAAUGAGGCGAACCGGGGGAACUGAAACAUCUAAGUACCCCGAGGAAAAGAAAUCAACCGAGAUUCCCCCAGUAGCGGCGAGCGAACGGGGAGGAGCCCAGAGCCUGAAUCAGUGUGUGUGUUAGUGGAAGCGUCUGGAAAGGCGCGCGAUACAGGGUGACAGCCCCGUACACAAAAAUGCACAUGCUGUGAGCUCGAUGAGUAGGGCGGGACACGUGGUAUCCUGUCUGAAUAUGGGGGGACCAUCCUCCAAGGCUAAAUACUCCUGACUGACCGAUAGUGAACCAGUACCGUGAGGGAAAGGCGAAAAGAACCCCGGCGAGGGGAGUGAAAAAGAACCUGAAACCGUGUACGUACAAGCAGUGGGAGCACGCUUAGGCGUGUGACUGCGUACCUUUUGUAUAAUGGGUCAGCGACUUAUAUUCUGUAGCAAGGUUAACCGAAUAGGGGAGCCGAAGGGAAACCGAGUCUUAACUGGGCGUUAAGUUGCAGGGUAUAGACCCGAAACCCGGUGAUCUAGCCAUGGGCAGGUUGAAGGUUGGGUAACACUAACUGGAGGACCGAACCGACUAAUGUUGAAAAAUUAGCGGAUGACUUGUGGCUGGGGGUGAAAGGCCAAUCAAACCGGGAGAUAGCUGGUUCUCCCCGAAAGCUAUUUAGGUAGCGCCUCGUGAAUUCAUCUCCGGGGGUAGAGCACUGUUUCGGCAAGGGGGUCAUCCCGACUUACCAACCCGAUGCAAACUGCGAAUACCGGAGAAUGUUAUCACGGGAGACACACGGCGGGUGCUAACGUCCGUCGUGAAGAGGGAAACAACCCAGACCGCCAGCUAAGGUCCCAAAGUCAUGGUUAAGUGGGAAACGAUGUGGGAAGGCCCAGACAGCCAGGAUGUUGGCUUAGAAGCAGCCAUCAUUUAAAGAAAGCGUAAUAGCUCACUGGUCGAGUCGGCCUGCGCGGAAGAUGUAACGGGGCUAAACCAUGCACCGAAGCUGCGGCAGCGACGCUUAUGCGUUGUUGGGUAGGGGAGCGUUCUGUAAGCCUGUGAAGGUGUGCUGUGAGGCAUGCUGGAGGUAUCAGAAGUGCGAAUGCUGACAUAAGUAACGAUAAAGCGGGUGAAAAGCCCGCUCGCCGGAAGACCAAGGGUUCCUGUCCAACGUUAAUCGGGGCAGGGUGAGUCGACCCCUAAGGCGAGGCCGAAAGGCGUAGUCGAUGGGAAACAGGUUAAUAUUCCUGUACUUGGUGUUACUGCGAAGGGGGGACGGAGAAGGCUAUGUUGGCCGGGCGACGGUUGUCCCGGUUUAAGCGUGUAGGCUGGUUUUCCAGGCAAAUCCGGAAAAUCAAGGCUGAGGCGUGAUGACGAGGCACUACGGUGCUGAAGCAACAAAUGCCCUGCUUCCAGGAAAAGCCUCUAAGCAUCAGGUAACAUCAAAUCGUACCCCAAACCGACACAGGUGGUCAGGUAGAGAAUACCAAGGCGCUUGAGAGAACUCGGGUGAAGGAACUAGGCAAAAUGGUGCCGUAACUUCGGGAGAAGGCACGCUGAUAUGUAGGUGAAGCGACUUGCUCGUGGAGCUGAAAUCAGUCGAAGAUACCAGCUGGCUGCAACUGUUUAUUAAAAACACAGCACUGUGCAAACACGAAAGUGGACGUAUACGGUGUGACGCCUGCCCGGUGCCGGAAGGUUAAUUGAUGGGGUCAGCGCAAGCGAAGCUCUUGAUCGAAGCCCCGGUAAACGGCGGCCGUAACUAUAACGGUCCUAAGGUAGCGAAAUUCCUUGUCGGGUAAGUUCCGACCUGCACGAAUGGCGUAAUGAUGGCCAGGCUGUCUCCACCCGAGACUCAGUGAAAUUGAACUCGCUGUGAAGAUGCAGUGUACCCGCGGCAAGACGGAAAGACCCCGUGAACCUUUACUAUAGCUUGACACUGAACAUUGAGCCUUGAUGUGUAGGAUAGGUGGGAGGCUUUGAAGUGUGGACGCCAGUCUGCAUGGAGCCGACCUUGAAAUACCACCCUUUAAUGUUUGAUGUUCUAACGUUGACCCGUAAUCCGGGUUGCGGACAGUGUCUGGUGGGUAGUUUGACUGGGGCGGUCUCCUCCUAAAGAGUAACGGAGGAGCACGAAGGUUGGCUAAUCCUGGUCGGACAUCAGGAGGUUAGUGCAAUGGCAUAAGCCAGCUUGACUGCGAGCGUGACGGCGCGAGCAGGUGCGAAAGCAGGUCAUAGUGAUCCGGUGGUUCUGAAUGGAAGGGCCAUCGCUCAACGGAUAAAAGGUACUCCGGGGAUAACAGGCUGAUACCGCCCAAGAGUUCAUAUCGACGGCGGUGUUUGGCACCUCGAUGUCGGCUCAUCACAUCCUGGGGCUGAAGUAGGUCCCAAGGGUAUGGCUGUUCGCCAUUUAAAGUGGUACGCGAGCUGGGUUUAGAACGUCGUGAGACAGUUCGGUCCCUAUCUGCCGUGGGCGCUGGAGAACUGAGGGGGGCUGCUCCUAGUACGAGAGGACCGGAGUGGACGCAUCACUGGUGUUCGGGUUGUCAUGCCAAUGGCACUGCCCGGUAGCUAAAUGCGGAAGAGAUAAGUGCUGAAAGCAUCUAAGCACGAAACUUGCCCCGAGAUGAGUUCUCCCUGACUCCUUGAGAGUCCUGAAGGAACGUUGAAGACGACGACGUUGAUAGGCCGGGUGUGUAAGC
rnacentral:rRNA from 1 species